UGGCUCAGAUUGAACGCUGGCGGCAUGCCUUACACAUGCAAGUCGAACGGCAGCACGGACUUCGGUCUGGUGGCGAGUGGCGAACGGGUGAGUAAUGUAUCGGAACGUACCUUUCAGUGGGGGAUAACGUAGCGAAAGUUACGCUAAUACCGCAUAUUCUGUGAGCAGGAAAGCAGGGGAUCGCAAGACCUUGCGCUGAUUGAGCGGCCGAUAUCAGAUUAGCUAGUUGGUGGGGUAAAGGCCUACCAAGGCUACGAUCUGUAGCGGGUCUGAGAGGAUGAUCCGCCACACUGGAACUGAGACACGGUCCAGACUCCUACGGGAGGCAGCAGUGGGGAAUUUUGGACAAUGGGGGCAACCCUGAUCCAGCCAUGCCGCGUGAGUGAAGAAGGCCUUCGGGUUGUAAAGCUCUUUCGGCCGGGAAGAAAUCGC
rnacentral:rRNA from 1 species